UCUAUUUCCAUCCUCCUCUCUGCCAACCUCAGACCCAUUUCCAUCCCCCUUUCCGCAAAGUCCUGUCCCAUAGACCCCCAGAAGGGCGAACGGCUUUGCCUCCUACGACCCCACUGCUGGUUCCACUGCUGGUCUUGCUGUUGACCCCACUGCUGCCCUUGCUGUUGAUCCCACUGCUGGCCAGGCCGGUAGUCAUUGCGGCGACGCGUGGCCCUCCUGGGAGGGACGUACAUUCUGCCUGUCAUGGCAGCGUCCACUGGAGACUUGACGCCCUUCCAGUCCCUCUCAAUGAAGUGGUGUUUGUCGUGAUGCUGAGGCACUAAAGAAGGGAUUUUCUCAAGCGUGGCAUCCAUCGGACGUGGGGGUUUGGUCAUUUCUAGUGUGGUUUCUGGAUGUUCCUGUGGUCUGCGACCAAAGUCUGAGAUGGGCUGCUGCGUGGGCCUCAGCAGACGACUGAUGGCGGUGAAAGGAGAGAUGUCAUGUGUACGUCUCAAGGGAGGGGUGCCAUCAAACAACUCAUCAUCAUCAUCAUCCUCUGCAAACACAAACGUGUCUCCACGAGCUGAGGGGGAAAAAGUGAUAUCAGUGACCAUUGUUCCCCGAACUAUUGUGACUCAUAACAUGACUGUAUCCAAAACAAAUGAGCAGAGAGGUUUCUUACUCGUCAUGCCACAAACAACCUCAAAGUCAGAGCAGCAGCUCUUGUAAUACUUGCACAUGGAGUCACACUGGCACUUCUUCUGAGAGUCAAAGCCAUUCUCACAGCGACCCAUACAGGACUCUGAGGAUAAAUGAGUUAAAGAAAAUAAAUCACCUCUAUUUUGUUGAUGUAUUUUUUUUAAUGCUUCUCUGUUUUGUUUGCACCUCUAACUAAAUGAAUUUCAUCCUUUGGAUAAUAAAGUUAAGUUGGAUUUGA